rnacentral:rRNA from 1 species
GACGGACGCUGGCGGCGUGCUUAACACAUGCAAGUCGAACGGAAAGGCCCUGCUUUUGUGGGGUGCUCGAGUGGCGAACGGGUGAGUAACACGUGAGUAACCUGCCCUUGACUUUGGGAUAACUUCAGGAAACUGGGGCUAAUACCGGAUAGGAGCUCCUGCUGCAUGGUGGGGGUUGGAAAGUUUCGGCGGUUGGGGAUGGACUCGCGGCUUAUCAGCUUGUUGGUGGGGUAGUGGCUUACCAAGGCUUUGACGGGUAGCCGGCCUGAGAGGGUGACCGGCCACAUUGGGACUGAGAUACGGCCCAGACUCCUACGGGAGGCAGCAGUGGGGAAUACUGCACAAUGGGCGGAAGCCUGAUGCAGCAACGCCGCGUGCGGGAUGACGGCCUUCGGGUUGUAAACCGCUUUCGCCUGUGACGAAGCGUGGGUGACGGUAAUGGGUAAAGAAGCACCGGCUAACUACGUG